rnacentral:lncRNA from 1 species
GGCCUUGCUCUUAUGUCAUUUGACUAAAGGUUUCAUAGACCAAAGAUAACCAUCCAACUUGUUGGAAUACUGAAACAAUUGCUGCCUGCUGUCCACACACCACAUAAAAUAUGUGGAUUUUGUAAAUUCUGCAAAAAAGGUUUGGAAGCUGAUCAAUCAAUACUGGAACUCCCUCUUCUCCAGAAGAGACAUCCUGGCCUCCAAGCAGAGGAAUGUGUGGAUGGACAUAUAUUUAAGGAAGACACUAAACCAGAAACUACUACAUUACACCCUCUUAGAAGACUUCUAAGAUUGUUGUCAUGCCUACCACAGACAUUCAGAUGAUGUGUAUUGUUGAUUGUGAUUUCAUGUUUGGACCUGAUGAAGGAGUUUGAAGUCUCCAGAGCAGCAAAGAGAGUGGGGAGUAGAACUAUUCAUCUUUAGGUCACUCAUCAUCG